UACAGAGGUCCCAAGCGUUGUUCGGAUUCACUGGGCGUAAAGGGUGCGUAGGUUGCUAUGUAAGUCUGGCGUGAAAUCUUCAAGCUCAACUUGGAAAUGGCGUCGGAAACUGCAUGGCUAGAGGGAUGAAUGGGAAAUUGGAAUACUUGGUGUAGCAGUGAAAUGCGUAGAUAUCAAGUGGAACAUCAGUGGCGAAAGCGAAUUUCUUGGCAUUCCCUGACACUGAGGCACGAAAGCCAGGGGAGCAAACGGG
rnacentral:rRNA from 1 species